AGCUUUGCACAGUGCCAGCAUCGUAGCCAAUGAGGUUUAUCUGAGGCUCGAUUAUUGCUAAUUGAAAACUUUUCCCAAUACCCCGCUGUGACGACUUGCAAUAUAGUAAGCAUUGGCAAUUCUUGACAGUCUCUCCGGAGA
ensembl:snRNA U4 U4 spliceosomal RNA